GUCCCUGUAGCUCAGUUGGUAGAGCAUGGUAUUUGCAAUGCCAGGGUUGUGUGUUCGAUUCCCACGGGGGACC
rnacentral:tRNA from 1 species